UCUAAAUGGACCUAAAUCUACUAUAUAAAUACUCCACCUUAACACAAAAAACACCAUUCACUCUACAUUGAGAGAGUGAGGAACGCUCACGAAGAGAGAAGAGAGCAAAAAAAAACUAGUGACACUAUUUACUUUCAAUUUCAUUUGCUCAUAACUUUUGAUUUGGAAUUCUGAUUGACGAGUUGUUUAUGGCCAUGCAUUCGUCUCAAAAUUCUCUUUGAUUCUAUCUAAACAAAAUGUGGUGCUCUAGUAUGAGCUAUUACCGAGUUUCAUCCCCGUGAGCAAUGGAUUAAGAGUUGUUGGGUGAUUUGGUGCAUUUCAAAAACUUGGAUCGAUCUUGGAGUUGUUGAUUGAGACUCGAUUGGUGUUGGACGAGUUUGGUUUGGUCGGAAAGGAAAGAAAAUCAAAAGUUUGGAAACCGCCGUCAUUAAGGUAUCGGACGUGACGGACCUCAAUGAGCGUACAAGAUCUGCUUUUGGGAAGCGAAGAUUUCCUUUGAGAUUUAUUUUCUGCACUUAGAUUUUAUAUGUGUUUUCCACUUUUGUAUUUUUCUUGUAUUUUUCUCUUAAAGGUUAUUUUAGAUAAACAUGAUUUAUGUUUAUAUUUACUUUUGGGGAUAUAUAUAUAUACUCUAGUCAGCCUCUACUUGGCAGGUCGAGACUUGAGACUUGAUAUGUAUCUCCUUUAGAAUUCUUAUAUAUAUAUUUCUUUGUCUCGUUCAUUCUUGUUCACCGACCGUUUUUGCUCACCGACACUUGCGAUCUUUAACGUUUUUAA